GCGUUCUGUAAGCCUGCGAAGGUGUGCUGUGAGGCAUGCUGGAGGUAUCAGAAGUGCGAAUGCUGACAUAAGUAACGAUAAAGCGGGUGAAAAGCCCGCUCGCCGGAAGACCAAGGGUUCCUGUCCAACGUUAAUCGGGGCAGGGUGAGUCGACCCCUAAGGCGAGGCCGAAAGGCGUAGUCGAUGGGAAACAGGUUAAUAUUCCUGUACUUGGUGUUACUGCGAAGGGGGGACGGAGAAGGCUAUGUUAGCCGGGCGACGGUUGUCCCGGUUUAAGCAUGUAGGCUGGUUAUCCAGGCAAAUCCGGAUAAUCAAGGCUGAGGUGUGAUGACGAGGCACUACGGUGCUGAAGUAACAAAUGCCCUGCUUCCAGGAAAAGCCUCUAAGCA
rnacentral:rRNA from 1 species